rnacentral:rRNA from 1 species
UACGAAGGGGGCUAGCGUUGCUCGGAAUUACUGGGCGUAAAGCGCACGUAGGCGGAUUGUUAAGUCGGGGGUGAAAUCCUGGAGCUCAACUCCAGAACUGCCUUCGAUACUGGCGAUCUCGAGUCCGGGAGAGGUGAGUGGAACUGCGAGUGUAGAGGUGAAAUUCGUAGAUAUUCGCAAGAACACCAGUGGCGAAGGCGGCUCACUGGCCCGGUACUGACGCUGAGACGCGAAAGCGUGGGGAGCGAACAGG